rnacentral:snoRNA from 1 species
AAACUAUGGUGAGGACAUUUUCUCAGGAGAUCUUUAAAUCUUUCCCAAGCUUCAUACAAGCUUUCUUGAUCAUGAUGAACAAAUGUCAUAAUUUCAUUUCUUAACUU